CUCUUCUCCUCUUUCCUUCAGGGGACCCGUGAACAUUAGCUCCACAUGCUGUUUGUACUUACGCCAUGCAUCGGGUAAGUUUGUAGACUCCCAGUCCAUUCGAGGUGAAGGAACUCCAGAAAAAUCCAUCUUUUAAGACCAUUUACUCUGACACCAUGUUUUGUUUUGUACACUUUGUACAAAAUAAUAAAACGCAGAACUACAGGAUGUUUCUUAACAUAACUCUUUAUUAACUAGGCUAACAGGUAGUUGUAGCUAUCUCCAACCACGAUCAACUGCCCCUGACCUAACCGUCUGGGUGGUCUUAACCAAUCACCGCACAGUAUGGUACGGCGGUAAAAUGCAUCCAAUUAUAAUUCAGUAUGUAUUCACAUAUGAAUAUUACAGGGGGGGGUUUACUAUUAUUUCACUUUCCACUAUCAUCAACUGUAACGUUGCAUUUUAAAAAUGUAACGUCUACUCUGUCUGCACAGCCUGUAAUGUUUUUGAAAGGGGAAAUGUUUGUUAAAAUGGGUAGUGAAUUUAAUCUCCUUUUUAUUUACUGCUCUGAGAUAUGCUGCUAUCAAUUUGUUUAUGUAGUGAUCUACUCAUUCUACAAUGGGUUUUUUUCUGGUAUUUUUUAGGCAAUAUUUGGAUGUGCAUUUUUUGGGGUGAAACAUUGCAGUGUUUGUAUUUGGAAUAUGUGUGCCUGAAAUGCUCAAUUGAUUUGAAACUAUUACUGACAGCAUGUUGGGUCCGUCUUCACAGACUUCACAGCAUAUCACCCUUCUUUACCUUGGGAAGGCUGAUUUUGUAUGACAGCAUUCCUGCUAUGAUGGUUGCCUGGGAAGCUGUGCAGAACAGGCUCCUGGAUCUCCUCUUCAACGAGGUCAUCCUCGAUCCAGCGGUGUACUGUAUGUGGGGAAGCUGUGCGAGCUGUCCAUCGCAGAACCCCUGUGCCCAGUGUGAGAGGCCUCCACGACAGAGGCCUGACAAGGAGGAUAGCUGGAUUUGUCUCCCGCUUCAAUCUUGGUAAUGACUGAAGCAAAGUGAGUGACUGAAGCCUGCGUAAUUGAAGCGAGGUACAUGGGUCCCCCUCCAUCUCUGUAGUUGGUUGCAUUUGCUUAAGCAAUUAACUUUUAUGUCAUAUGAUUUCACAUUUUGUUACUUUUUAUAGUUUUUUUUCAAGCAUUCGAAUGGGAGAUGAGUUACAAAUUGUACAAAUAAAUGAGAUCCUGCACACUGUAGGGUGGCCAGGUGCCUAUAUUAGGCUCUAUGCCUCUAAUAUAUUUGUUUCUUGUUCAAAUGAUGUCUUACCAUUAUUUCUCAUGGGAGUUCAUGUUGAUCAAUAUUUGGCUAUGUUGGCCUAUUGUAAAUGAGCAAAUAAAUGUCUGAUCAUUACAUUAAAUUCUGAACAUAUUGUCAUUUAUAAUGCUUUUUACUCAUUCUUGUGAAGUAUACUGAACAAAAAUAUAAACGCAACAUGUUGGUUUCAUGAGCUGAAAUAAAAGAUCAGAGAAAUUUUCCAUAUGUACAAAAAGCUUAUUUCACUUAAAUUCUGUGCACAAAUUUAUUUACAUCCCUGUUAGUGAGCAUUUUACUUGGGAAAUAGGAUGACCUUAAACAAUUCUAGUCUGUCCACCCUCUGAUCUACCCCACCAACCAGGCUGUAAUCAUCCUCACCUUCUCCAACUAUGUCCUGCAGCCACACUUGCCCUCCUGCUUCCCCCCCAGAGAGCGGCCUCCCUCCGUCUGUCUACGUGAGUCCCUCAGAGAACUACAGCAUCAGAGGUCAUUAUUGCAAUUAUCUACCAGAAGAUCUCCCAUCAGCCAGAAACAAAAACAGUUCAGUUUUGCUGACAUGGGUGAACUGCUCCAGUGUGCGCUGGGCCACACGUGUUCAGGAUGUCUUCACUUCCAGGAAAGGGGGCAUUCAACUGAAAUGUGUCUUCCACAUUUAACCCAACCUGAAUCAGAGAGGUGCGGAGGACUGAAAUAAUCGGAAGCUACUGGCCUGGGGGCUUAUUAUUAUGGCCUUUGUGCAGAUCAGCAAAGGCUGUUUUUCGCUGGAGCGAGGGAAGGCCAUCUCCCUCGACUCCUGGCCAUGAUUUAUUUGAAACGCUGCACCCCGAUCCCAGCCCUGCUAUUCAUUGAGUCCUACUUACUCUACCUGACAACAACGCAUCGCUCUUCCUCAGUCUCUCACACACACUUACACAUCUACAAACAUGAUACCAGUUCACUAUGUACUCUUAUCUCUCAAGGGUAUACUUUUAAUGCCCAAUUAGAUUGGGAAAUGAAUGGAUCUUUUUUGUUCCACCUCGCCUAUCUUAUUUUCAGUGUUUAUUUUCAACCAUACUGUUGCUGUGUACCAGUGACAUGUACAGUGCCUUCAGAAAGUAUUCAGACCCCUUGACUUUUUCCACAUUUUGUUACGUUACAGCCUUAUUCUAAAAUUGAUGAGAACAAUGUUUUC